UCUUAACUUAAUCCCAAGAAUCUAACAGGAUUUUGGGGGGAGGUUUCCCCAUGGUUAUACCUCUGGGUGAUGGAAUAAAUGAGCUCGAACACUGCCAAAUAUAGAUUUACCUAACAAAGAAAAUGAGAAUUACACAGCUUCUGUUCACCAGCUGGAAAGUGAGAAUGAAAGGUUACAAAGUAAAAUUGUUAAAUUACAGAAUGAUACUGAAACAUCAUUACUGCCUAGGUUGGAUACAUAUGAAGAAACAGAGUGUACCAACCAAGCCCAAAUGGAAGAAAAGGAAGAGAGAAAUUGUCAGAAUGAAAAUGAAUGGCAAAUGAAACAGACACAGACAGCUACAGCUAUGUUCAAAACCUUUAGAUGUUUCCAAAACCCUAGUCCUACCUCACAUGGCCAAGGUGAUAUUAUUGGAUCUGAAAGUGGCAGUAGUUUACCUUCUCAUAGACUUAGUAGUGAUCAGGAACAGAACCUAGAUGGUGAAUCUCCAUCACCACCAAUGGCAUAUUCUUCAAAUUGUGACAAGCCGUUUCCUGGAAAGGAGAGAAUUGAUGUUUUACUGAGCCAUAUAUAUAGCACUGAAGAAAACAACCCACUGGUGAGUA
rnacentral:lncRNA from 1 species